AAGAGACAGCAGCAGCCGCGGUAAUACAGAGGGUGCGAGCGUUAAUCGGAUUUACUGGGCGUAAAGCGUGCGUAGGCGGCUUUUUAAGUCGGAUGUGAAAUCCCUGAGCUUAACUUAGGAAUUGCAUUCGAUACUGGGAAGCUAGAGUAUGGGAGAGGAUGGUAGAAUUCCAGGUGUAGCGGUGAAAUGCGUAGAGAUCUGGAGGAAUACCGAUGGCGAAGGCAGCCAUCUGGCCUAAUACUGACGCUGAGGUACGAAAGCAUGGGGAGCAAACAGGAUUAGAUACCCCUGUAGUCCCUGUCUCUUAUAC
rnacentral:rRNA from 1 species